rnacentral:lncRNA from 10 species
CUAUAGAGCCCCAGGGGGAGUUUCCUCAGCCCUGGAAUUCAGGACACUUUCCUGCUUUUAUGAUACUGUCUUCACCCUCUGCAUACCAACCCCUCCCCAAUACAAAUUGGUGGCAAGUAGGUGGAGGAAGGAGGGUCCACUGGAGAACCCCCCCUUACCACCCAGCCCAGGAGCAAACAAUUUCUCCCCAGGGCUCAGAAGCUGCCUGUGAGCUUCUUGUUUGGGGCUCACACUGAGUUCCCCCUGUCCUUUAUUUGAGAUGAGUGACUCGUGACACCACAACUGCUGAAUCUACAGCCUCCAAAACCAUGCUGGGGUCCAAUCUCUAGCCCGGGCAGGAGGCAUUCUGCUGGUGCAUCUCAGUGUGCCCCCACGCUGUCCCGGAAGAAUGCAUGUUGCAUUUUGCCAAGUUGCUCUCAGCUUUUUCCUGCCUGUAUGCCAUCUUUCUGCAAACUACCAGCGCUGGCCGCCUCGCACAGCGAUAAUCAGCCUGUCAGUCAAUAAACUGAAGAUGUUGGUGGUGUGCUGGGGUUGGUGGCCAGCAGUGAGAGCCCUGAGAGUUAUAAAUUCAAGAUGAGAAUUGAGAUGUUGCCAAGGCUUCACAGAGUCCCUGAUUUACUAGGAAAUUGUUCCCUAGCCUUGACUGCUGGCCCUGUUAUGCAAGGGACUUUGUGUGGGCUGGGGGGAUGGUUGAAGGAAAGACAAAAAAUAAAAGACCAGAAGCCAGUGUUUAGGCACAGUGGAUAGGACAUUCCCUACCCCACUGCAUUUGGUCACCUAUGGUCUGCUAUUUAACCUGUCUUAACCAUGUUCUGAUUUGCAUGUGCUUGCUUACUUUCUCCAACUAUUUUACAGACCCCUUGAAGGCAGACACUGGCUCAUAUUUCUGGUGUCUUCCUCCCCCACCCCAUUCUAGGCCUCUAGCACCACGCUGGGCUCAUGGGAAAGCCGAUUGAUUAACUGGCUGAAUGUGGAGGAGGAGGGGUUAAUUAAUCCUAGAAAGAAGGCCUCCCAGAGAAGUCCUCCAUGCCUGCUCCCUGAGGACCAUGAACCUCCCCUAGUCACCCUCUGCCAGCCCAGGCCCUCCUGAGCCUGGUUCUGACACUGUGGGCUCUAGACUGGGCCUUCCUCCUUCAGCCUCUGGGGACAGGUUGCUGGCCUGCAGUUCUGAAUAUUUCAGUUGGCUCCAUGCGUAGGGCCUGCUCCAAGGCCAAUCUGAAUGAAUUUGGCCACCUCCCUGUUUUACAAGUCCCGUUCCUAAACUGGAGCCUACAAACAUCUCCCUGCCUUCCUGCACAACGUGUGGCUCUGUUCCCUCAGAGAGAAAACAGUCUGAACCGUCCUGAGCCCAUUUCCUUUCCAGGUUUUGCUAGUCUCUUCUCUCGUUGAGGAAGGAUGUGCUGGGCCCCAGCCCUGGGUGUGCAUGGGGCAGCAACCUGGGCAGCAGUUAGAGAACAGCAAAGGAGGGUCUCCACUCUCCUGAAGCUCCCAGCCCACUGCGGGGACCAGAACAUAAGGAUCAUUGCGAAACCCGUCGAGGCCAUGUUUGCUUGAUAAGCACCACAUGUGUGGAGAGAGAGCUCAUCCCAGCCCAGCUUUGGCUCUCCUGGGUGGGCUGGGGUCUGGGGGGAACCCACAGAAAAAAUGGGAAGAGAAUGCUUCCAAGAGCAUGGAGAGCCAGCUCAGCUACUCACCAGCUGUGUGACUUUGGGCAAAUUACCUAACAUCUCAGGAGUUAGGUUCUUUAUCCACACACCAAGAUUCCCUGAUAUUCUAGGAUUCUGAUGGGGCAUGGCACAGAGCUGCAGCCUUGUUGCUACAAGGCUUUGAGAACUCACUGAGCUUGAGGCAGAGGUCCAGACCAGCAGGGAGGGGCCUGGGGCCUGUGAUCCUAAGCACAGCUUCUCAUGACUGCUAGGUGAGAGGGGUCACACCUGAGAGACUAUGGGGCCAGAACCGAAUCCUUGAGUCUGGAGAUCAGGUGCCUCAGGCCUGGGCUUCAACGCACCCCUGUCCCUGCUUCCCUGGGUCCAUGGCUGCAGUGAGCAAGAAAAAAAGAACCCUAGAUGGGGGGCGGGGCAGAAGCCACAUCAGCACCAACCAGGGCAAACAAAGAUGAACUGUCUUCUAGGCUUGAGGUUGUUCAUUUGCAAACAACAGUAUUUGAGUUGCCACUGUUCCCCGCCUGCCAGGCCAACAGAGGCUGUCUGUGCG